GAGUGGCGAACGGGUGAGUAAUGCAUCGGAACGUGCCCAGUCGUGGGGGAUAACGCAGCGAAAGCUGUGCUAAUACCGCAUACGAUCUAUGGAUGAAAGCGGGGGAUCGCAAGACCUCGCGCGAUUGGAGCGGCCGAUGUCAGAUUAGCUAGUUGGUGGGGUAAAGGCCCACCAAGGCGACGAUCUGUAGCUGGUCUGAGAGGACGACCAGCCACACUGGGACUGAGACACGGCCCAGACUCCUACGGGAGGCAGCAGUGGGGAAUUUUGGACAAUGGGCGCAAGCCUGAUCCAGCAAUGCCGCGUGCAGGAAGAAGGCCUUCGGGUUGUAAACUGCUUUUGUACGGAACGAAAAGGUCUGGGUUAAUACCCUGGGCUCAUGGCGGUACCGUAAGAAUA
rnacentral:rRNA from 1 species